rnacentral:lncRNA from 1 species
CUUCCUUCCUUCCUUCCUUCCUUCGGAUUGAACCCAGUGCCUCACACAUGCAAGGCAAGCACUCAAUCACUGAGCUACAACCACAGCCCUACUGCUGAGUUCUUGAUUGUGCGUAAUACAAAUGUCAAAUUCUAACCUGUUAAGACAUUGUGUUUAACCAAAAGAAAAUUGGUAUUAACUAUACAAAUGUUACAGUAUACUUCAGGACAAAAGGCAUUUUAGAAAUAAAGGGAUAAUGGAAAACUAGUAAUGUAAAUGAACAAUAUCUGGUUAAAAUGACAUGUAAGAAUCUCACAACUGUGAUUGAACAAAGGAACUCAUACACAAUAAUAUGUAAUGUAUACUUUUAUUUACAUCAAAUUCAGAAAAAGGAUAGUAGUUACCUUUGAGUAGGACAAUUGAGAAGGGGAGUUCUGUUGUCUGAUUACUGGGUUAUUAAUCUUUGUACCAGUUACUCAAGAGUUUUUACUUUCUGAUAAA